rnacentral:lncRNA from 1 species
CUCAUCUCAGCCAAAUUAGCCAACAAGGAAAACAUUUCAGCCAGAUCACAUCAACUAUAGUAUCAGAACACACGGUAGGCCUCAACAAGAAAAAGUCAGGCCUUUGAAAUUUGAUAAUUUCUGCCUAGUUGUCUCAUUCAAUAAAAACAUGGCCAAAAUACAUAGGAAUUGAAACAAUGAUCCAACAACUAGUUGAAUAUCUAUUACUACAUAGACUUUAUCUAAAAAAGAAGUGGCAUCUCAUAGGAUUAACCAAAUAGACUUACAUGCCAAUUUUCAC